rnacentral:rRNA from 1 species
CCCUUAGAUGUCCUGGGCCGCACGCGCGCUACACUGAGUGUCUGAGAUAUGAGGCAUGCCUGGUCCGGCAAGGUCUAGGUAAUCACGAAAAGACACAUCAUGCUUGGGAUUGAUUAUUGCAAAUUUUAAUCAUGAACGAGGAAUUCCUAGUAAGUGCAAGUCAACAGCUUGCGUUGAUUACGUCCCUGCCCUAUGUACACACUGCCCGUCGCUACUACUGAUAGGAUGGUUUAGUGAGGCCCUUGGAUGGGCCCCGCCAGGUCAGCCCACUGCCCUGGCAGAGCACUGAGAAGACAGGCGAACUUGACUAUCUAGAGGAAGUAAAAGUCCUAACA